rnacentral:rRNA from 1 species
GGCGAACGCUGGCGGCGUGCUUAACACAUGCAAGUCGAACGGAAAGGCCCUGCUUGCAGGGUGCUCGAGUGGCGAACGGGUGAGUAACACGUGGGUGAUCUGCCCCUUAUUUUGGGAUAAGCCUGGGAAACUGGGUCUAAUACUGGAUAGGACCAUGCUGUAGGUGGUGUGGUGGAAAGAUUAGUUUCGGUAAGGGAUGAGCUCGCGGCCUAUCAGCUUGUUGGUGGGGUAAUGGCCUACCAAGGCGUCGACGGGUAGCCGGCCUGAGAGGGUGGACGGCCACAUUGGGACUGAGAUACGGCCCAGACUCCUACGGGAGGCAGCAGUGGGGAAUAUUGCACAAUGGGCGCAAGCCUGAUGCAGCGACGCCGCGUGGGGGAUGACGGCCUUCGGGUUGUAAACUCCUUUCAGCCAUGACGAAGCCCUUGUGGUGACGGUAGUGGUAGAAGAAGCACCGGCUAACUACGUG